UGUUUGUUUUUAAUACCUACACACUUCUCCCUGAAGCUGUUUUCUAUAUGCAGAGAUCUAGAUUCAUUGCAGGAAGAAGUCUCUCCACUUUGUAGUUACUGCAAGGCAAGCAACAAGCAAAUUCCACACUAGCAUUGAAGAUUCUGUAUGUCACUUUAGAGGGUGUGAGAAAAGAAUCCUUUCUUCAGAAGCCAACAACAGAAUUAGAGAAGACCAAGUCAUGCCCUGCUGGUGAUUGGCUUAGUCCAAGAAAAUUUCAGCUUUGAACAACAUUUCACAAACAAUUGUGUUUCACCAUGCUAUAAAUUAUUAAAGUUAAAAACAACCACCAGGUACAAUUUACAAAUACGAAUCAGAGUAGGGCUAUUUAGUUUCUCUCUACUGCCUUCAAUAUUGUUAUUAACCCCCCUUUACUGCAGAAAGCUAACACAGUGUUACAAACAAGAAAUGUCUGAGUUGAAACAGCCAGCAGAACUUGUUGCUGCAUGCAAAACCAAGCCAGCAUAGAAAGGAAAUGCUUAUUAAACCACAAGCCAAGGUAUAAAAUACUUGUAGGGAGGACUGACGUUAGUUUUGCCACGUGUUUCUUUUUUAGAUGCUCUGUAUUCCUCUGUUAUGUAUUAAAAGAACAAGCCAGUAAUGUAUAUGCAGAUCUCUCAAAGGUUGGGAUGUAACUAAGCUGUUUUUUAAAUGUUAUCUCAGUAAUGCAUUCUUGCUUAGGAAUAUAUGGGGUCCCCCCCCGGACAAGAGAGGCUGUAAUUCUAUAUUGAUUUGAGUGGAAGAUCCAUUGAAUACUGUGGGAUUUGCUGCUUUGUAACCUGGCAUGGGAUUGUGCUGUAGCUUUUAUAAACUCCCACAUUCUUUUUAACUUUCCAGCACAAGCUCCCUGUGCCUGAAAUACUAUAUUUUGUAAAGAUGUGCUGCCAGUGAUUUUGUAGAAAAAAUCUUUACAGAAGUGAAGCUUUCUAGGUGAAAGCUAUUCAUCCAAUGUGAGCUUCCCAUGCAUGGCAGACAUCCUACCUAUUAAAGAGAGAGCACAGUU